AUUGAACGCUGGCGGCAUGCCUUACACAUGCAAGUCGAACGGCAGCAUGGGUGCUUGCACCUGAUGGCGAGUGGCGAACGGGUGAGUAAUGCAUCGGAACGUACCCGGAAGUGGGGGAUAACGUAGCGAAAGUUACGCUAAUACCGCAUAUUCUGUGAGCAGGAAAGAGGGGGAUCGCAAGACCUCUCGCUUUCGGAGCGGCCGAUGUCGGAUGAGCUAGUUGGCGGGGUAAAGGCCCACCAAGGCAACGAUCCGUAGCGGGUCUGAGAGGAUGAUCCGCCGCACCGGGACUGGGACACGGCCCAGACUCCUACGGGAGGGAGCAGUGGGGAAUUUUGGACAAUGGGGGGAACCCUGAUCCAGCCAUGCCGCGUGAGUGAAGAAGGCCUUCGGGUUGUAAAGCUCUUUCGGCUGGGAAGAAAUCGCAUCUCCUACUACGGGGUGUGGAUGACGGUACCAGCAUAAGAAGCACCGGCUAACUACGUGCCAGCCGCCGCAGUAA
rnacentral:rRNA from 1 species